rnacentral:rRNA from 1 species
GAUGAACGCUAGCGGCAGGCCUAACACAUGCAAGUCGAGGGGUAGCACAGAAACAGCAAUGUUUUGGUGGCGACCGGCGGACGGGUGCGUAACGCGUAUGCAACCUACCUUUAACAGGGGGAUAACGGAGAGAAAUUUCCACUAAUACCCCAUAACAUCGAUCAAGGCAUCUUGAUUGGUUGAAAACUCCGGUGGUUAAAGAUGGGCAUGCGUUGUAUUAGGUAGUUGGUGAGGUAAUGGCUCACCAAGCCUACGAUACAUAGGGGGACUGCAGAGUGAGCCCCCCAACCAGGUACUGAGACACGGAACAGACUCCAACGGGAGGCAGAAGUGAGGAAUAUUGGUCAAUGGGGUCAACCCUGAACCAGCCAUGCCGCGUGCAGGAAGACGGCUCUAUGAGUUGUAAACUGCUUAUAAACAGGGAUAAAGCACAGUAUGUAUACUGUGUUGAAGGUACUGUAAGAAUAAGGAUCGGCUAACUCCGUGCCAGCCGCCGCAGUAACAC